UAAGACGUGUUCUUGUACCUCAACCAGUGAGUUAAGUUGUGUUCUUAUACCUCAACCAGUGAGUUAAGUCGUGCUCUUAUACCUCAACCAGUGAGUUAAGUCGUGUUCUUAUACCUCAACCAGUGAGUUAAGACGUGUUCUUGUACCUCAACCAGUGAGUUAAGUUGUGUUCUUAUACCUCAACCAGUGAGUUAAGUCGUGUUCUUAUACCUCAACCAGCGAGUUAAGUCGUGUUCUUAUACCUCAACCAGCGAGUUAAGUCGUGUUCUUAUACAUCAACCAGUGAGUCGAGACACAGGUACUCUCCCACCUUAACCUGUGAGUCGAGACACAGGUACUCUCUCACCUUAACCUGUGAGUGGAGAAACAGGUGCUCUCUCACCUUAACCUGUGAGUCGAGACACAGGUACUCUCCUACCUUAACCUGUGAGUCGAGACACAGGUACUCUCCCACCUUAACCUUUGAGUCGAGACACAGGUACUCUCCCACGUUAACCUGUGAGUCGAGACACAGGUACUCUCCCACCUUAACCUGUGAGUCGAGACACAGGUACUCUCCCACCUUAACCUGUGAGUCGAGACACAUGUACUGUCCCACUUUAACCUGUGAGUCGAGACACAGGUACUCUUCCACCUUAACCUGUGAGUCGAGACACAGGUAUUCUCCCACCUUAACCUGUGAGUCGAGACACAGGUACUCUCCCACCUUAACCUGUGAGUCGAGACACAGGUACUCUCCCACUUUAAUCUGUGAGUCGAGACACAGGUACUCUUCCACCUUAACCUAUGAGUCGAGACACAGGUACUCUCCCACCUUAAUCUGUGAGUCGAGACACAGGUACUCUCCCACCUUAACCUGUGAGUCGAGACAC